rnacentral:lncRNA from 1 species
CCUUGAUUUAGACGGGGUCCGGGGCGUUCUCCAGCCUCACUCGCCUGGCAGGCGGGAGAACGCUCGGGAGUUGUGGCCGUGGGCACGGGGCUCGCGGCAAGAGGAGCGGAGAGCGGGCAUCUCCUGAGCGCCGUCAUGGCUGCUUAGGCUGCGCCUGCCAGCGGACCGACGGUGUCGCCCGAAUCCGGCUCGGAUAGGUCUGGUUGGAGUCUGUGCCUGCUUGCUUGGCGUGUGGUUGUUCCUGCUUGAUUGGCACGGUGCCAUUGGCUUCGUAUUUGGGAAUCGGAGGAGUUAAUCUUGUCUCUUCUCACAGGUUCGAGUCCUCAGACCUUCUGCAGGACUCCAUCCAUAUCUGCCUCGCAGCUGACUCUCCUGCUCACACAGAAGACGGCCAUCCUAGAUCCCCAGC